rnacentral:snRNA from 1 species
CCGGAACCGGGACGUGGCG